rnacentral:lncRNA from 1 species
CAAUUUCCAUCCAUAGAUUAUCCCCAAUCAAUGGCUAAGAUUAAUUGGGGGUUUAAUUGAGGAGAAACUUAUAAAUAAAGGCUUAAAAGGGCAACAAGGUAAAAUCGCACUUCCCUAACCAUCAAAAAAUCAAUCCAAAUCACGUUUCCUCCUCAGCAAAUCAAAUGAAGUCUUCCAAAACCCCAAAUCGCGUUUUCUACCUCCUGAUAUAAACUUGCAAAUUAGAAGUAAUCUAGGGUUUUAAGGAAUAAAAAGCAACAGUGAAUGAAAAUUAUGUAGAGCAUGAUGUUCUUAAUCAGGUUGUAAAAGUCCGAGAACAUUAAGGAUCCAACUGUGAAGUUAUCCAGCUGAAUGUUAUGAUGAGGAUUCUCAAUACAUUGAACCAACAGAAGCGUCAAGGAGUGGUAAACAAUAUUUAUUGUGGAGUGUUUUUUGAUGAGACACAUGGAACCAACAAGGAAGGACGUGUGAAGAACAGAGAAUGCGGUUUCAAACUGAGAAAAGAAAGAGACAAUAAUCACAACUAAAUUUUCUUAGAAAGAAAUAUGUUGCAGACAUUGUACUUUCGAAAGUGAAUAUUCACUGAGAAGAUGUGAUCAAGAAAGCAUUAGAGUUUGAAAUGAGACCAAACAAGAAAAAUACUAGAUGAUAUUAUGGAUUAUGAUUUGUUUCUAUGUUACCUUGGUUAGCGUACAUAUCAAGGAUUAUAACUUUCGUUUUUAUGUUAUCAUGUUUAUCAUAUGUCAAUAAUUAUGACUUGUUUGGCAAGAUAAUGCUUUUGAUUUUCGAAUAAUGUUAUGUUGGUUUAAAUCCUACUUGUUG